CAUAAACUAGGGCCGCGGGCCGGUGCCCCGGUCUUCAGCCACCAGUGUGCAGGAGCAGCAGCAGUGGCAAGAGUUGAGCCCAGUCCAGUGCUUUGUUGCUAGCAAGCUAACGCUACAUGGCGCUAGCUGGCAGCGUCGUGCAGCUUUCAGAGUGCCAAAUCAAGACGCCGCACUCAACCGACUUCCCGCUCGAAGGAACCGUGUCUUUGGAAAGAGGGGAUGACGGUGGGCAGGUUUAGUCCCGAUUCAGAUGAGAACUCCCAGCAGACAGAAAAAUGCACAGGUAUUUUGUUGUUCCCAGGUAUAUUAAGGUAAUGGAAAAAAAAAAUCCUUUGUAGUGGAGGUGUGAAUUUCGAUGGAAUUGACUCAUUGAGCCAAAGGCCAUUGGCAACAGUUUUAACAGAUGCACGAACAACCCCGCACUAUAGGUUGAGCAGUCAUGCCUGUGCUUGUCUAUGUGUGUGUGUGUGUGCACGUGUUUGUGUGUGUGUCUCUGUGUAGAAGUUCAUCCGUAAUUACGGAAAACAGGAAACAAGUUUGUACUGAGUGAUUCCUGGUUAAAUGACAAUACAAAUAACUGUACAAAAUCUUGUUUUGAAUAAAGUGAAUGCAAAAUGCAUAGUUUAACUGGAGAUACAAACAAUAUGAGUAUUCAGAAUUGUUAUAUUUGUUCAAUACAUUUGUUCAAUAUAUUUGCGUUUCAAGAAG
ensembl:lncRNA